AGGACAAAUUGUAAAUUCGUCAUUCAGUUGUCCAGCUUGGCAGUGCUCACAUCUAAAAUAAAAUUCUCAGUUUUUCAAAAUUCCAAAUUCCAAAUUAAGAAAUGAAAUAAAAACCGCAACCGGACUUUUGGCUACAUUUGUCUAAAAUAAAAAAGUAAAUAUAUAUAAAAAAAAGUGUUGCUAAAAACAAGCAAUGGUAAUAACAUUUUAUACGACCAACGACGAAAGCUUGCUAAUUUUCUUGUUGUGCAUUUCGCCUUAAAGGCCUUGAAGGCUCGUUAGAUAAAGAAGAAUAAUAUAAAUCCUCUGGAAUUAUGGACCAUCGUUAACAAAUAGAUGUCAAUUUGUUUUUGGAGCAAGGUCCGAGGAUGUAGAGAUCCUUGUGUUUGCUCAUACACUUGAAUCGCGAACUCUGAACGUUGGUAUAUCGGAAUCGCUAUAUUAUAUUAGGCAUUGAGGCUGCCAUUAAUUUAUUUUCAUUUUAUGCUUCGACCCUGACAGGUCUGCUGUAUAUACAACAUGACACAAAAUAAUGAAUGGAUCGAUUCAACGAAUUUAUAAAAAUAUCGAAAUGAAGCAUUUUUGAACGGGGUGCAAGGUCCGAGGAUAUCAUAUCCUUGUGUUUGCCUCCGAGUAGUAGUAGUGGAGUAACAACGAAGAAAAACAAACAAAACAAGGUCCUUCUACUAGGAAACUUCCAAGCCGACUAACAUUUGAACAAGACACAAUUCUAAAUUACAGACUAGUAGCUGCAGCCUAUUUAGAAACACUGGUAUACUUUGUUUUGUAAAUUUAUACAUUCACAUGUUCUUGUGUUUACAAUUAUGCAUGCUGUCAUAUAUCCAUGUUUAUUAAAUGCACGAUAACCAAUA